GAUGAACGCCGGCGGUGUGCCUAAUACAUGCAAGUCGUACGCACUGGCCCAAUUGAUUGAUGGUGCUUGCACCUGAUUGACGAUGGAUCACCAGUGAGUGGCGGACGGGUGAGUAACACGUAGGUAACCUGCCCCGGAGCGGGGGAUAACAUUUGGAAACAGAUGAUAAUACCGCAUAACAACAAAAGUCACAUGGCUUUUGUUUGAAAGAUGGCUUUGGCUAUCACUCUGGGAUGGACCUGCGGUGCAUUAGCUAGUUGGUAAGGUAACGGCUUACCAAGGCGAUGAUGCAUAGCCGAGUUGAGAGACUGAUCGGCCACAAUGGAACUGAGACACGGUCCAUACUCCUACGGGAGGCAGCAGUAGGGAAUCUUCCACAAUGGGCGCAAGCCUGAUGGAGCAACACCGCGUGAGUGAAGAAGGGUUUCGGCUCGUAAAGCUCUGUUGUUGGAGAAGAACGUGCGUGAGAGUAACUGUUCACGCAG
rnacentral:rRNA from 1 species